UUUCCCUCUUUUCCAUCUAAAACAUUUUGACCACAAGUUCUCACUGUCUCUCAAAACCCUUCAUUUCCCACAAACAGAGUAUGACAAGGGACAUGACGAGACCUCCUAAAACCAGGAGAAAGCAAGAAAGUUGUUCUUCUUCACCUCCUUAGCCUUCUCUAUGGAUGAUGUAUCUAAUCGAUCUUGAAAAGCUGGAAAUUACCAUCUGUUGAUGUUACGCUAAUGGUGUUGCUGACAUGUUGCUGAGUUGGCAAGUUAUCAACCCCAUGAGACUUUGGAAAUAUUACUGCAAAGGGUGGUCUCAGCUGUUGAGCGUCUGUCGUCCCACACAACCCAAGUAAUCUUCCUUCAUGAUCGCAAUUUUCGGCUACAUCAGAAAUGUUGGUCCUGCAUUAGAACACAUUAUAAGUGACAUUCAUGAAAUAUCAUAGCUAGUUGCUUCCUGCCUUGAAAUAUUACCUCAUCUUCUUCAGAGGUGCAGUAGAUUCAGAUGUUCCAUCUGUAACAAGCCCAUUUUGAAAUAAAACCCUCUUAUUAUUCGGGUUGGUGCAUAAACUUUUGUUUUCUUUCAA